rnacentral:rRNA from 1 species
CGGCGGACGGGUGAGUAAUGUCUGGGAAACUGCCUGAUGGAGGGGGAUAACUACUGGAAACGGUAGCUAAUACCGCAUAACGUCGCAAGACCAAAGAGGGGGACCUUCGGGCCUCUUGCCAUCGGAUGUGCCCAGAUGGGAUUAGCUAGUAGGUGGGGUAACGGCUCACCUAGGCGACGAUCCCUAGCUGGUCUGAGGGGAUGACCAGCCACACUGGAACUGAGACACGGUCCAG